GAUGAACGCUGGCGGCGUGCCUAAUACAUGCAAGUCGAGCGAACAGACGAGGAGCUUGCUCCUCUGACGUUAGCGGCGGACGGGUGAGUAACACGUGGAUAACCUACCUAUAAGACUGGGAUAACUUCGGGAAACCGGAGCUAAUACCGGAUAAUAUAUUGAACCGCAUGGUUCAAUAGUGAAAGACGGUUUUGCUGUCACUUAUAGAUGGAUCCGCGCCGCAUUAGCUAGUUGGUAAGGUAACGGCUUACCAAGGCGACGAUGCGUAGCCGACCUGAGAGGGUGAUCGGCCACCCUGGAACUGAGUCACGGUCCAGACUCCUACGGGAGGCAGCAGUAGGGAAUCUUACGCAAUGGGCGAAAGCUUGACGGAGCAACGCCGCGUGAGUGAUGAAGGUCUUCGGAUCGUAAAACUCUGUUAUUAGGGAAGAACAAAUGUGUAAGUAACUAUGCACGUCUUGACGGUACCUAAUCAGAAAGCCACGGCUAACUACGUG
rnacentral:rRNA from 1 species